rnacentral:RNase_MRP_RNA from 1 species
GAACUCCUUGGGGAAAUUCCCCGGGCGCAACGAGAGAGAGUCUCAUCCGGAAACGGAAGUCACCGGCGCGUUAGCCGCUCGCGUUUACGAAGACGGCCGAUGGGCACUCUGUUGCACGUCGGCAAGAGUGCUCACUGAGCGAGACGGCGCCGUCAAAAAGCCGCCGCCAUAUCAAAGUCAUGCCAUCUUUGUUGAACUCAACGGGGGUCACUACU